CCGAGUGAGGGUUCCGGCCCGACCUCCAACCCCAUGUCCGAACCGACCACUGUUGCCUCGGGGGGCGACCCGGCCUGGAGCCGCGGGCCCCCCGGCGGACACCGGCAAACUCUUGCGUACUUGCGUCGGAGUGUGAAGCGAAUUGAAUCA
rnacentral:misc_RNA from 1 species